AACGCGAAGAACCUUACCUAAGCUUGACAUCCUUUUGACCGAUGCCUAAUCGCAUCUUUCCCUUCGGGGACAGAAGUGACAGGUGGUGCAUGGUUGUCGUCAGCUCGUGUCGUGAGAUGUUGGGUUAAGUCCCGCAACGAGCGCAACCCUUGCCUUUAGUUGCCAGCAUUAAGUUGGGCACUCUAGAGGGACUGCCAGGGAUAACCUGGAGGAAGGUGGGGAUGACGUCAAAUCAUCAUGCCCCUUAUGCUUAGGGCUACACACGUGCUACAAUGGGUGGUACAGAGGGCAGCCAAGUCGUGAGGCGGAGCUAAUCCCUUAAAGCCAUUCUCAGUUCGGAUUGUAGUCUGAAACUCGCCUCCAUGAAGCUGGAGUUACUAGUAAUCGCAGAUCAAAAUGCUGCGGUAAAUGCGUUCCCGGGUCUUGUACACACCG
rnacentral:rRNA from 1 species